CUGUACAGAUGUGCCCUGCUGAUACCCUGGGCCUCAGCAGAACCUCGAGCCUCUCUCUCUCUGCCUGCCUUUCCCUCAGGUUCUGCAUCUGUACUAGGCUUCCUGUGCCAACGAGAAUAUAUAAAACCAUCCUCCCCAAACACAAGCUGACACUGGGGGCUAAACCUGCCUGACAGUCCCAAGGAGCCUGGUGACCUGGGAGGAGCUCCUCAGAUGCAGGGACCAUUGCAGGCUGCGGCGCCCGUCCCAGGUGCAUCCUGGGCUACCCUGGGAAGGGCUGGGGAACAGCAAGAGCCAGAUCUGUGUGACUGCCCCAGGUCUGAGGCUGGAGCAGGGCUCUGACUGUGACACCCCUGCGUGGAGCCCAGUGGCUGACUUUCAGGAAGGACAGGAGAGGAAAUUGAGACCCAGAGACAUGAAGUAACUUGCCCGAGUCACCAGGAAGAGGCAGCACCGGGCCUGAGGCUCAUGCUGCUGACUUCAUGUUAACCAACCACCAUCCUGCCUCUUCCCGCCCUGGUCUAUCUCCCCGAGCCUUCACCUCCUCCUGCAACUGCAGAUAGAAGCUGCUUCUUCCUUUGUUUGUCAUUCUCAACUUAUCUUUUUUGUCCAUCUUUAUAAAGUUCUAUGUUAAGAACCGUU
rnacentral:lncRNA from 10 species